GUGCUCGCUUCAGCAACACAUAUACCGAAGUGGGAACGAUACAGAGAAGGUUAGCGUGGCCCCAGCACAAGGAUGACACAUAAAAUACACAAAGUGCUUUCCCGAGUC
ensembl:snRNA U6 U6 spliceosomal RNA